rnacentral:lncRNA from 1 species
UCGCUCGCGCAAAGCAGAGGAAGGCCAACGGAAAGCUCCUACUGCGAUAGCGCACCCUCGCCGGGUAAACGGUACUGCGUCUAUCUCAUUGUCUUUUCCUGGUUCCACGUCGCGUCUGCCGCUUCGAGGAAAAAU